rnacentral:lncRNA from 1 species
GGUCUAAUUCAUUUGCUCUCAGUUCCCUCUUUCCACUAGCUGGCAGACUGUUUCAUUAAGGCUUUAGCUAUCUCACCAUUUCAAAAUGCUAUGUCCAAUAUCGAUAUACAAAACCCAUAUACUCCACCUUGAGGAGGAUUAUUAGAAUACUUAAUAAGUUUUGUUAUGAUUAUAAUUAAUGUAUUUUGUUGGGUUUAGUUUGUAAAUAUUAUAACUAUAGGGU